AUGGUUAACACAAAAUUUACGUUUUGUUGCUGGAAUGUACGGGGUCUUGGCCAAACACAAAAAUGUUCGGACGUUCUCGCAGAACUAAUCUUCGUCAAACCACAUGCAUGUUUCCUUCAGGAAACACAACUAAACUCUCCCGAUGCUCGGAAAAUUUGAUCCUUCAUCCCUGCUCAGCUUGACAUAUCUCAUCACAAAGAUGCGGAUGGCACAUCAGGGGGGAUGAUGGCCUCAUGCUCCUCUUCGCUGUUCGCUGCGAUCACAUACACCCAAUCCCGUUUAUCGCAAACAAUCUCCUUCUCAUCCUUAGCUUCACCGAUUCCACUAACAAUCACCAAUGUUUACGCCCCAACAGACCACUCACUUAAGUUAGAUUUUGUGACGCAAAUUGAGGCGGCCGCCCCCGGCCAAAAUAUGCCCUGGAUGAUCUGCGGAGACUUCAAUCUAAUGAGAUAUGCCUCGGACAAAAACAAUGACUCCUUCCGACAAAGUGAGGCUGAUCUGUUCAACCAAUGGAUUCAUAACUUGGCCCUCAUUGAGCUACCUCUCCUUGAUAGGAGAUACACUUGGUCCAAUAGGGAUAAGCAGACCUUAGAACUCCUAGACCGUGUCUUUGUAAAUGACACUUGGGAUCAGACCUUUCCCGAGUCCUCACUCUCGAGCCUCACACGCUACGUCUCCGACCAC
rnacentral:rRNA from 1 species